AACGCACAUUGCGCCCCUUGGUAUUCCGAGGGGCAUGCCUAUUCGAGCGUCAUUAUAUCACCCCUCAAGCCUAGCUUGGUGUUGAGGCCUGCUGUCAAGGCAGCCUCUAAAAUCAGUGGCAGUGCUGUCAGGCUCUAAGCGUAGUAAAUCUAAUCGCUAUAGACACCUGGUGGACACUCGCCAGAACCCCCCCAUUUUUUAAUGAUUGACCUCGGAUUAGGUAGGGAUACCCGCUGAACUUAA
rnacentral:misc_RNA from 2 species